rnacentral:tRNA from 1 species
GGGCGUGUGGUCUAGUGGUAUGAUUCUCGCUUUGGGUGCGAGAGCCCUGGGUUCAAUUCCUAGUAUGCCCC